CUUAUUGAAGAAGCUCGGCUGAAGUCCACCUGUAACAGAAGUUCGGAAGGAAUUCGUUUACAGUAGAAACUCGGAUAGAAUUCGCUUAAAGUAGAGAUCCGGAGUAGACCGCUCGUAGUAAAAGUUUGGAGUAGGCCGCUUGCAGUAGAAGUUCGGAGUAGACUGCUUGCAGUAGAAGUUCGGAGUAGAGAUCUGGCUG
rnacentral:lncRNA from 1 species